UACGUAGGCAGCAAGCGUUUGUUCGGAAUUACUGGGCGUAAAGAGUGUGUAGGCGGUGCUCUAAGUUCGGUGUGAAAUCUCCCGGCUCAACUGGGAGGGUGCGCCGAAAACUGGAGUGCUGGAGCGCGGGGAGAGGAAAGCGGAAUUCCUGGUGUAGCGGUGAAAUGCGUAGAUAUCAGGAGGAACACCGGCGGUGUAGACGGCUUUCUGGACCGUAGCUGACGCUGAGACACGAAAGCGUGGGUAGCAAACAGG
rnacentral:rRNA from 1 species